rnacentral:rRNA from 1 species
CAUGUCUAAGUAUAAGCAAUUAUACAGCGAAACUGCGAAUGGCUCAUUAUAUAAGUUAUCGUUUAUUUGAUAGUACCUUUCUACUUGGAUAACCGUGGUAAUUCUAGAGCUAAUACAUGCUAAAAAUCCCGACUUCGGAAGGGAUGUAUUUAUUAGAUUAAAAACCAAUGCCCUCUGGGCUCUCUGGUGAUUCAUAAUAACUUCUCGAAUCGCAUGGCCUUGCGCCGGCGAUGGUUCAUUCAAAUUUCUUCCCUAUCAACUUUCGAUGUUUGGGUAGUGGCCAAACAUGGUUGCAACGGGUAACGGAGGGUUAGGGCUCGACCCCGGAGAAGGAGCCUGAGAAACGGCUACUACAUCCAAGGAAGGCAGCAGGCGCGCAAAUUACCCAAUCCCGAUUCGGGGAGGUAGUGACAAUAAAUACUGAUACAGGGCUCUUUUGGGUCUUGUAAUUGGAAUGAGUACAAUUUAAAUCCCUUAACGAGGAACAAUUGGAGGGCAAGUCUGGUGCCAGCAGCCGCGGUAAUUCCAGCUCCAAUAGCGUAUAUUAAAGUUGUUGUGGUUAAAAAGCUCGUAGUUGAACCUUGGGCCUGGCUGGCCGGUCCGCCUCACCGCGUGUACUGGUCCGGCCGGGCCUUUCCCUCUGUGGAACCCCAUGCCCUUCACUGGGUGUGGCGGGGAAACAGGACUUUUACUUUGAAAAAAUUAGAGUGCUCCAGGCAGGCCUAUGCUCGAAUACAUUAGCAUGGAAUAAUGAAAUAGGACGUGCGGUUCUAUUUUGUUGGUUUCUAGGACCGCCGUAAUGAUUAAUAGGGACAGUCGGGGGCAUCAGUAUUCAAUUGUCAGAGGUGAAAUUCUUGGAUUUAUUGAAGACUAACUACUGCGAAAGCAUUUGCCAAGGAUGUUUUCAUUAAUCAGGAACGAAAGUUAGGGGAUCGAAGACGAUCAGAUACCGUCGUAGUCUUAACCAUAAACUAUGCCGACUAGGGAUCGGACGAUGUUAUUUUUUGACUCGUUCGGCACCUUACGAGAAAUCAAAGUGCUUGGGCUC